rnacentral:rRNA from 1 species
AUAACGAACGAGACUCUAGCCUGCUAAAUAGGCGACGGAUUUUCACGGUGCAGCGAUGCGCCUUCAACUGGCCCGGGAUGAUCGUGCUGGAUCAGGCCGUGUCGGCCGUCGGGGCAACUCGGCGGUCGGCGCGGUCCCAGUCGGUCGCCCGGGUCGCGUCCGUCGCGUCUCUUCUUAGAGGGACAAGCGGCGUCCAGCCGCGUGACAGUGAGCAAUAACAGGUCUGUGAUGCCCUUAGAUGUCCUGGGCCGCACGCGCGCUACACUGAAGGAAUCAGCGUGUUUCACCGUCCCUGUCCGAAAGGACCGGGUAACCGCUGAACCUCCUUCGUGGUUGGGAUUGGGGACUGCAAUGAUCCCCAUGAACCAGGAAUCCCUAGUAGGCGCGGGUCACUAGCCCGCGUCGAUUACGUCCCUGCCCUUUGUACACACCGCCCGUCGCUACUACCGAUUGAAUGAUUUAGUGAGGACUUCGGACGGGCUCGCCGGGGACUGGCUAGUCGGGGGCAACUCCGGCUCGUCGGUCCUACUCACGGCGAGACUGAAAGAUGUUCGAACUUGAUCCUUUAGAGGAAGUAAAAGU